rnacentral:rRNA from 1 species
CACGGAAUUAGCCGUGGCUUAUUCAUCAAGUACCGUCAGAUCUUCUUCCUUGAUAAAAGAGGUUUACAGCCCAGAGGCCUUCAUCCCUCACGCGGCGUUGCUCCGUCAGGCUUUCGCCCAUUGCGGAAAAUUCCCCA